GGAAGGGGUGCAAGCAUCCUCUCGUGAGCCCACACUUUAUGGCCACUGGCAAGCUCAGCCCUCGCAUGCUGCAUCAGGAAAGAUUUCCUCUGCUCCUCUAAGGUGGGAGCAGAGCCACUCAAAAUGCUAACAGCUGAUCAGCUAGCUGCCUUGAACUCUUGCUGUCAAGGUCACUGGGACCAGAGUUUGACUGUUUUAAUAGCAAUAAAAAAAGAUGACUCUCUGGUUUUGUUACCAUCCUUACCCAGCCAAUGGAUUGGUCAUCCUUAGACUGCAACAGCAACCUUCAUCCUUCACCGUCACAGGAUCUUCUGUGUGAGCUACUGCAUUUGCAAAACCAUCUGGAUCUAAAUAACCUUACAGGUAGCUGGAAACUCGCACAACUAACUGUGGCCAAUGUGAUGUUAAAACCAAGUUGGUCAAACACUGCAGACAACCAAAGGCGUCUCCGUCUGGCUCCAGUGUAUGAGAGCUUAGAGGAGUGCUCAUAGGGGCUGUGCUGCCACUGACCCUGGCACCAUGUGGUAACCUCUACUUCACUGUCUGCUCAGGCUGGGCUUCCACUGAGCUCUGGGAGAACUGUCCUUAGCCGGGGCCAGAAGCAAAGAGGAUUUGGAUAGCCAGCACUAUCUGACUCUUUUGCAACCCUCAGGUUCAGUUUCUCAAUAUUGCACAGAUUGUUUGCCAGAUAAAAUAAUCCCUCUGACUGAAAAGAAAAUAAUUAUGUAAAAAAAUAGAAAUAAGGCAGGCAUCCUUUACAUGCCCUGUUAUCUGUGCAGAAAUUAACUGGACCACUAAGGGUUAAUUCUGAUCCUGAGUGGGCCCAAUCAGGUUUGUUUCUGCCAUCUUAUUAGGUUAAAUAAAUAGAAACUUCUUGCAAUAUCCAUCCACAAUGAUAAGCAAUUCCCACUAUAAUGGAUGGCUAAUAUAUAAAUUCAGCCCACAUCAGUUUUGUGUCAACUAGCAAAAACAGAAACAAUGGAAACUAGACAGCCAUGGCUCUGCAUAGGUCAACAACCAAGGUUAUCUGUAUUCAAUUACUGGUAUCUGCAAACUUGCAUACUGUCAGCUGAUCGUAGACUAAAUGAAAACUUAUCAUGCACAGAGGCAGCAAAUACAUUUAUUUGAAGCAGGCAUCAUAUUAGUUCACUGGUUUGACUGUGGUUAAGGGAAAAAAAAAGGGGUUAUCAGUCUUUUGGGAAAUUCUUUCAAAUAUAACCUGCAGCAAAUAUCUAAAAUUGGGGAUUAUCUAUGUUAUAAAUCUUUGUUCAAAAAGUAGAAAAGGAACAGAAAUUACUCCGUAGCCCUCUAAGACGAUAAAUUAUAUUAUUUAACAAUAGAUAAACUUAGGGCACCUUUCCUGUGGUGCAGCCCUAUUGUGAAUUCGGCUUUAAUCUGCUUCACCUUAACAUCUGUUCGGUGGAACCGAAGAUUUGGCUGUUUUGGACGCAGACAAUAAUUUGUUUGUUAACCGCUUCGCUGGAACAAUACAUCACUGCAGAAAACAAAGCCUACCAACACGACGCGUUUUUAUCUGUUUCCUCUAUCUGUGUUCCUUUUUCCAUAAGUGCAAGUUCAGGCUUUUGAACUGUUUUCCUAGCGAUAAUUUGUGAUGCUGUUAGUUUCAUAACCCUGGAAAAAUAGAUCUUUUUUUUUCAACAUUUUUUUUCAUCUCUGACCAACAGAUGUUCUGUUCAAAACCUGCAAGUACUCAUGAGGUACGUACUAGCAAAUUAUAAUUGUUAACGCCCCUGUGGAAGGAAAACGUCAAUAAAUAUUUGUUAUCGCCGGCCUGUUUGGAAACAAAGGCAUUCACUUCACAGAAGUUCACGUGCCAGACCUUUUUAUGCAUCUUUUCCAGCAGUCCAUUCAAUUAGACAUCUAACAUUUUGUUAGAAGAGGAAGUGAAAAUAACCUCACAGAAUCAAAACCAAAGCAUAAAAGCACGCGGGCAUCCUGUAUUCCGUGGUAAAAUAGCACUUCAACUCGUUUCAACGAUCCAAAGGUGGCCAUGGAGCCCAGCUGUGGUCCAGCUCCAGCAUUUCACCACUGCACACCAAAGCAGCAAUCAAGGGCAAAAAACUGAACGCGUGGCACCAUGAUGCAGAGAAAUGCCCCAACAAUGUCUGGCUGCUGACGACUGCAGUCCAUACCUAUGGAUAAUCUCCCCUGGCCAAGUGACUUGACUAAAACCAGACUUAACUGCAGCUUUUCUCCUCUACUGAGAGAUACGGAGUUGUUUGCUUGGUUCGGAAUUCUUACUCAUGUCAUUGAAGCCCAGGCUCAUCUUGCUACUGGAGGGGGAGGUAAAACUUUCUUCCUAGAUGACUGAAAAAAGCAAAUGGCUAUCAUUUUCAGACCCAGGGUGGUGAGCUGCUGUAGGCAUUCAGAACUGUCCUGCAGAAAUAUCAGAAAAACUUAUGCCACCAGUGCAGCAAAGAGCUCUUAACACAUCCUUUGCUCUGUGGUAUUCCAAUUCAUUCUACUUCUUCUUGAGCUCUAGUAUCUCCCUCAUUUUAUCUCUGGGUGUGUCUGAAGCUGUAGUUCUAUUCUAAAGACUAAGACUAAUAUCUAACACAUGCUGUGAUGAUUUGGCAAAUCAGUUUCUGCACCACUAAAAUGAAUGCUGUUUUACAGCAUGGACUGCACUGCAUGUGUUUCAGCCAGCACACCCCACGUGGGCUGCAGCUUCCUUGCCUUCUCCAUAGCUUUUUGUCCUCUUGUUGAUGCAGAGACUGGAGGAGUUGCAGGGUGCAUCCAUUUACCUGGCUACAGUGGAGCAUCGUUAAAAUGCAAGAAACCAGCCAUGCAAAUGAGACAGAGAAAUGGCUGCCACCCAAGGCAGAGGAAUUUUUCCAAGUCUGAACCCUAUGCAGGAAGCAACUUCUUAGUAACUGUUUGUUUUGUGGAUUCAUUUGAGGAGCUGAUAAAGCUGAUAAGAGGGCUCCCGAGGUGUUUCACAAAUCAGGAGGGUAAGGAGCUGCGUUUCUGAGAAGUCUUAUGCAGGAGUUUGGGUCUAGGAGAAUUGUGACCUACUUAGAAGACUCUGACUUAAGCCCCAAAUAAUGCUCUUGCUCAAGCAUGAAUUACAAGCAGCUGAAGAAAGAUGAGUUUUCACGCUUGUACUCCAGCCAAGUUUGCCCACAUCUAAUGAGGAAAAGUAGAACUCGGUGCCAUUUUGUAUUCCCAUGAUGUGGUGCAGAUGGAGGCUCGGCACACGCUUCUCUGCCUCCCCUUGCAAAGCCCGGAGCUGGAAAGCGUCAGGUUGGAGAGCAGAGGAAGCGGUGGCUGUGAGAAGCUGCCUCGCCCAUGGGAGCGGAGCCGGCAGCAGUUCUGGUGAUCGGAGAUGGCUGAGCUGGAGGAAAAUAUUAAACGGCCCAUGGCCAAAAGCUUGGGGAGUUAGAGCAGCAGGCAUUCAUGGAGGGAGGGGAAAGGCUGAGCUGUCACACCUCUACUUAAAUGGCCUUGGCAGAGGCCGGGAGGGUGGCACACGGGGGCUGGCCUCAGCCCUGAGCUGGGUGCAGGCCUUGCUGUGUGCCAGGCCCAGGCCCUGCCUGCAGCCACUAGGACCUGUGUCCCAUGGAAGGGAAGCGCGCCUGAGCUGAGCGCUGCAGUGAGUCAGCCUUCUUAUGCAAGAUGGAAACGUUGUGCUGGGCUGGGCAUUGCUGUGGGAUUAUGAAGGGAAAAAAAUGGAAAAAAGCCCUUGGGGAAAGAGAAUGCAACUGAUGGGAGAAACAGCAGAAGAGUCUGGCAGGAUGCAUUCUCUGUAUGUGCUUGGACCACUGGGCUGUCUGUGAUGUGAGUGAGGCUCCUGAAUUCUGUCAUCAAGGCCAGACUGCCCAUGGUGCACAAGCUCACAGUGCACAACGCUACCUGCCCACCAGGUCAGGGCUGCCCCGUGCUGCAGGCAGGGCCUGCUGCAUGGAGCAUGGCCCAUGGGCUGCAGCACUG